GAUGAACGCUGGCGGCGUGCCUAAUACAUGCAAGUCGAGCGAACAGACAAGGAGCUUGCCCCUUUGACGUUAGCGGCGGACGGGUGAGUAACACGUGGGUAACCUACCUAUAAGACUGGGAUAACUUCGGGAAACCGGAGCUAAUACCGGAUAAUAUUUCGAACCGCAUGGUUCGAUAGUGAAAGAUGGUUUUGCUAUCACUUAUAGAUGGACCCGCGCCGUAUUAGCUAGUUGGUAAGGUAACGGCUUACCAAGGCGACGAUACGUAGCCGACCUGAGAGGGUGAUCGGCCACACUGGAACUGAGACACGGUCCAGACUCCUACGGGAGGCAGCAGUAGGGAAUCUUCCGCAAUGGGCGAAAGCCUGACGGAGCAACGCCGCGUGAGUGAUGAAGGUCUUCGGAUCGUAAAACUCUGUUAUUAGGGAAGAACAUACGUGUAAGUAACUAUGCACGUCUUGACGGUACCUAAUCAGAAAGCCACGGCUAACUACGUGCCAGCAGCCGCGGUAAUACGUAGGUGGCAAGCGUUAUCCGGAAUUAUUGGGCGUAAAGCGCGCGUAGGCGGUUUUUUAAGUCUGAUGUGAAAGCCCACGGCUCAACCGUGGAGGGUCAUUGGAAACUGGAAAACUUGAGUGCAGAAGAGGAAAGUGGAAUUCCAUGUGUAGCGGUGAAAUGCGCAGAGAUAUGGAGGAACACCAGUGGCGAAGGCGACUUUCUGGUCUGUAACUGACGCUGAUGUGCGAAAGCGUGGGGAUCAAACAGGAUUAGAUACCCUGGUAGUCCACGCCGUAAACGAUGAGUGCUAAGUGUUAGGGGGUUUCCGCCCCUUAGUGCUGCAGCUAACGCAUUAAGCACUCCGCCUGGGGAGUACGACCGCAAGGUUGAAACUCAAAGGAAUUGACGGGGACCCGCACAAGCGGUGGAGCAUGUGGUUUAAUUCGAAGCAACGCGAAGAACCUUACCAAAUCUUGACAUCCUUUGACAACUCUAGAGAUAGAGCCUUCCCCUUCGGGGGACAAAGUGACAGGUGGUGCAUGGUUGUCGUCAGCUCGUGUCGUGAGAUGUUGGGUUAAGUCCCGCAACGAGCGCAACCCUUAAGCUUAGUUGCCAUCAUUAAGUUGGGCACUCUAAGUUGACUGCCGGUGACAAACCGGAGGAAGGUGGGGAUGACGUCAAAUCAUCAUGCCCCUUAUGAUUUGGGCUACACACGUGCUACAAUGGACAAUACAAAGGGCAGCGAAACCGCGAGGUCAAGCAAAUCCCAUAAAAUUGUUCUCAGGUCGGAUUGUAGUCUGCAACUCGACUACAUGAAGCUGGAAUCGCUAGUAGUCGUAGAUCAGCAUGCUACGGUGAAUAAGUUCCCGGGUCU
rnacentral:rRNA from 1 species